rnacentral:rRNA from 3 species
UUGACCUCGGAUCAGGUAGGGAUACCCGCUGAACUUUAA